rnacentral:rRNA from 1 species
UACAGAGGUCCCAAGCGUUGUUCGGAUUCAUUGGGCGUAAAGGGUGUGUAGGCGGCGCGGUAAGUCGGGUGUGAAAUCUCGGAGCUUAACUCCGAAACUGCAUUCGAUACUGCCGUGCUUGAGGACUGGAGAGGAGACUGGAAUUUACGGUGUAGCGGUGAAAUGCGUAGAUAUCAGGAGGAACACCGGUGGCGAAGGCGGGUCUCUGGGCAAUAACUGACGCUGAGGAGCGAAAGCGUGGGGAGCGAACAGG